GAAAUCUGAACAACUAAUUCUCCCAAGGCAUUUUCUGUUUUACUUGGGGACUGUUCCUCACGGUGUGAAAUCCGUCGGCUCUCUCACGGUAUAUCAUCCUCUUAGCUGUGUGAGGAAUUGAGUUGCAUCUUGGUGACUGACUUCACUCAUCGUUGAUUGCGGCAAUCAAUUUCUGCAGGUAUGCAUUGGAUGCGUAUAUGCUACAGAUUAGGAGUUAUAGAAUCUUUGUUCAAGACGACUAGUUAAAUCCUAGAUGCACUAAUUGCGAUCUAGGAUAUACUUUUUUUUAAUUUCAUUGAAAAUGAAAAAAAAA
rnacentral:lncRNA from 1 species